AUUGAACGCUGGCGGCAUGCUUUACACAUGCAAGUCGGACGAGUGGCGGACGGGUGAGUAACGCAUCGGAACCUACCUGGUAGUGGGGGAUAACGUUCGGAAACGGCAGCUAAUACCGCAUACUAUCAGAUCGGCCGAGGUCGGAUUAGCUAGUUGGCGGGGUAAAGGCCUACCAAGGCGACGAUCCGUAGCGGGUCUGAGAGGAUGAUCAGUCACACUGGGACUGAGACACGGCCCAGACUCCUACGGGAGGCAGCAGUGGGGAAUAUUGGACAAUGGGCGCAAGCCUGAUCCAGCCAUGCCGCGUGUGUGAAGAAGGUCUUCGGGUUGUAAAGGACUUUUGGCAGGGAAGCGGUACCUGAAGAAUAAGCACCGGCUAACUACGUGCCAGCAGCCGCGGUAAUUC
rnacentral:rRNA from 1 species